rnacentral:lncRNA from 1 species
UUUUCUGCACGAGGCUCUUCUUUUUCUUUGAACCAUGUUGUUGUUUUUGGAUUUUGGAUGAAUGGGAGAGCACAUCAUGGCCUGGAUGGAUUUGUGAAUGCAGAUAGAAGAUUAUUAUUGUUAGAGUGAUUGAUGGCUUUAUUCUUCAUUUUCUUCAAAAGUGUUCACGGUUGAGAGGGAAUAUUGUAAAAGCUACUUCAAUUUAGGGUACAGCACGUUAUAGCCUUUGGGCUUUCAUGUCUUUCUUUUCUUUGUGGAAGUACAAGCUGCUAGAUGGAUGGGAUAAUAAAUUUUAUUCUAUUUAAUUUAGUGUAGCACAUUAUGUUCUAAGAGAUGUCCAACCGCUAUUCAUUUUCUUUGGACUUUGGUUUCAACGUUUGAGUACAAUUUUUUUUUUCUUACUUGCAUUCAAUGUCUUUUUCUUUGGGAGCCGCCACCCACUUAUACUUUGGCAUUCUU